UACAUAUUUUUUAAAUAAUUUUUUUUUCUAUAUUUUUAAAUUUUCUUCUUUUCUAUCGGCCAUUUUUAAACUAGAGUAAAGCUAUAAAUAUUAACAUUUGCCGAAAAUAUUCAUUAGAGCUCCUCAAAUCUCAAAUGCUCUCCUUCUAAUUAAAAAAUCCUCACAAGCUAUAACAACGAAAAGGUGUCGGCUGACGAAAAAGUCUAGAUGUAAAGUGGUAGGAUUUAUUUAAGCCCAAUAAAUAUGAAAAUUCUGUAUGAAUUCUGUAAUUAUGUAUGUUUGUAUGUAUGUAAGGCCAGCAAAUUUUCUAAAACCAACGCAUUUCUUACCUGUAAAGAAAUCGUCAUUUAUAUUCAAAGUUGAUUUUUCAUAGAUGAAAACGUAACGGACGAAAAGAUGUUAGCUUAAAUAAAGAAAAACUUAACGAUUAUGCCAACGUGCAUACAAACACAUGCACACACAUGUAUGUACAUACAUAAGUUUCCAUGACAUGCAAUGCGUUCGAGUCGAAAGUGUAGAAAAAGUGAAGUAGCAAAACGGAAUUACUAAUUGUGUGAAAUUUUCAUAGUUGCGUCGAGUUGCGCCGCUGCGUGUGAACGAAUCGAGUGUGUCCCCGCUGUUGUCGUACUAGUAUAGGCUAUCUUAAUUAAUUGUAAUAACGAAUUAUAUAACAAAAAAAAAAAAUAAAAAAGAAACUACAUAAAGAGUACCGUUUCAUAUUUGAUAUAAUUACAAGAAGAUUUGUAAAAUUUAGCAGCAAAUUCGUCAACUCAAAGAAACACAAGUAAUUUAUGAAACGAACGAGUAUCAAUCAAAUUGUAUGAAUUCAGUGGCACAGUAAAAAUUGAACUUAAAUCACACGCUUAAACAUAAUUACAUAAUAUUGUAUACAAUACAUAUACAUACAUACAUGCAUCAUACAAUACAUUCGUCCACAACUAAAACUAAAAUAUCGGCAUGCGCAGAAGAUGUCAGUAAAAGGCAAACAAGUCGGUUACGGGCAGGACUAUUCAUUACCAGAAUCAAGAUGCCGUGCAAAGGAUGUGAAAAAGAAUGCAAAUGCACUCCGGAUAAAUGUGAUGAACAAUGCAAGUGCGCCAAGGACAAUAAGUGUAAUUGCCAUGCCGGCAAGGAUGGAAAGACUGAAGGGGC